UUUAAUACCAUAUUUAUUGGUUUGAAAGUGUAGUUGUUUUAGUAGUGGGUGUCAACUGCAAGAACUUGACACCUCUAUUUAAGAAAUACUGUUUAGAAGAAAUUAAAUUUGACUAAAUGGAACCUUUGGUGCAAAUCACUUCCAAACAAUGAAACCAUAUUCACAAGGAGAUGCUCUGACUUUCUCCACUGAGGAAGAAACGGAGACAUUUUUCGAUUGCCAUUACAUCCCUCCAAAUAGAAAAGGAAGGCUGUGGGCAAGAUAAGAAAAAUAGGUUACAUCUGGGCAGCCCAGCAGUGUUCCCCUGCCUGCUGAAGAAGCUCCUCUUUGUUUCCCUCCUGAAGCACAGCCUUGUUUUCUUGGGUCUGUGCUCUGAGUUAAACCUGGGUUAGACUAUGGAUCCCUUACACUUGAUUUUGUGAUUGGGAGACCUACACAAAUGCAGGCCUAGAACACAAUCGAACCCUUAUCAACUUCCAUCUCCAUGAAUAGGAAAGAAGCCACUUGAUCUUACAGAAGUGUUGCCUGGUCGCUUUCCCUUUUAUAUCUAUUGUUACAUUAUGAGAUGAAAUCACAGAAUCAUCAGUCUGUUGUUUGCUACUUUAGAAUAUGCAUUUAAGAAUUUUACAAAACAAAACUGUGCCUGAAGAAAGACUUCCUUUGGUUCAGCCAUUCCUCUUUUGAGUAUGUGUACACCCAAGAGACUCGAAAGCAGGGUCUGUAGCCUUAUUCCCAAUUCCAAAGGUGGAAGAAACCCAGGUGCACACUGAUGUAUGAGUGGACAAAUAACAUGGUAUAUACACACAAGGAAUUGUUAUUCAGCCUUUAAAAGGAAUGAGAUUCUACCAGACAUACUGGAGCAUGAACGAACCUUAAGAACCUUAUGUUAAGGCAGUUAUUAAACAAACAAACAAACAAAAAAAGAGACAAAUACUUAGGACUCUACUUACAGGAGGGAAUCUAGAAUAAUCAAUCAUAGAGACAGAAAGUAGAAAGGUAGUUACAGGGGGCAGAGGCGAGGAGUGAAUAGGGAGUGAUUGUUGAAUGGAUAUAGAGUUUGACUUUUACAAGGAGAAAAGAGUUUUGAAAACUAUGAGAAGAGAUGGACAGUGGGGAUGAUUGCAUGACAUGAGAACAUACUAAUGCCAC
rnacentral:lncRNA from 1 species